AGUCAAGUGUGAAAACACCGUAGGCUCAUUCAGUUGUGAAGUUGUAGACAGGAAUUUGUACUUGAAGCUGAUGGUGAACAGUGUAGAGUACGCACAAAUUGUUCUACAAAACCGAAAUUGUCUCAAAUUUGUUUUUUUGACAAUGGAAAUGACACGUGUGCUUGCGCUAAAGGAUAUGCUCUUGGAAGUGACGGAAGGUCAUGCAAUGACAUCAAUGAGUGUGAAAUGAAGGUACCUGUUCUCAAC